rnacentral:rRNA from 1 species
GAUGAACGCUGGCGGCGUGCCUAAUACAUGCAAGUCGAGCGAACGGACGAGAAGCUUGCUUCUCUGAUGUUAGCGGCGGACGGGUGAGUAACACGUGGAUAACCUACCUAUAAGACUGGGAUAACUUCGGGAAACCGGAGCUAAUACCGGAUAAUAUUUUGAACCGCAUGGUUCAAAAGUGAAAGACGGUCUUGCUGUCACUUAUAGAUGGUUCCGCGCUGCAUUAGCUAGUUGGUAAGGUAACGGCUUACCAAGGCAACGAUGCAUAGCCGACCUGAGAGGGUGGUCGGCCACACUGGAGCGUAGACACGGUCCAGACUCCUACGGGAGGCAGCAGUAGGGAAUCUUACGCAAUGGGCGAAAGCCUGACGGAGCGACGGCGCGUGAGUGAUGAAGGUGUUCGGAUCGUAAAGCUCUGUUAUUAGGGAAGAACAUAUGUGUAAGUAACUGUGCACAUCUUGACGGUACCUAAUCAGAAAGCCACGGCUAACUACGUG